CCCUUAGAUGUUCUGGGCCGCACACGCGCUACACUGAAGGAGGCAGCGUGUACUCCUGGAUCGAAAGAUUUGGGUAACCCGCGAAUCUCCUUCGUGCUAGGGAUUGAGGUUUGCAAUUAUCCUUCAUGAACGAGGUAUUCCCAGUAAGUGCAAGUCAUAAGCUUGCGCUGACUACGUCCCUGCCCUUUGUACACACCGCCCGUCGCUACUACCGAUUGAAUGAUUUAGUGAGGACUUCGGACUGGGACCGAUGCGGCUUUCGGGCUGCGUCGGUAUUCUGGAAAGAUGUCCAAACUGUAUCAUUUAGAGGAAGUAAAAGUCGUAACA
rnacentral:rRNA from 1 species